GAAGUAAAAGUCGUAACAAGGUUUUGGUAGGUGAACUUGCGAAAGGAUCAUUAUCGAGUCGAGGGCUGUAGCGGCCCGAGCCUCCCAAACCACGUGUCGAGCCACCUACACGCUUGCUUUGGCGGGCUUGCCCGGGGGACACUCCCGGGGCCCGUCGGCAGCCCAUUCGAACGCGUUGAACCUCGCUCCCUCGGGGGCGUCUGAGCCCGCAAGCGAAUGCAAUAGACCCCAAAAAAACUUUCAACAACGGAUCUCUUGGCUCUGGCGUCGAUGAAGAACGCAGCGAAAUGCGAUAAAUAAUGUGAAUUGCAGAAUUCCGUGAAUCAUCGAGUCUUUGAACGCACAUUGCGCCCCCUGGCAUUCCGGGGGGCAUGCCUGUUCGAACGUCGUUCGAUCCCCCGGGCUCGGCCCGGUCUUGGGGGCCCCUGCGCUCGCCCCGCAUGGGCGGGCUCCCCGAAAGUCAGCGGCGGAGCGCGCCGGGUCAGGAGCGUCGUGACGAUCCAAUCUCGUAGCCUCGACCCGGGCGCCCCGGCCGGAAGCUCGCGCGGUUCCCGGGGAAGCAUCACACCUCUCCCGGGGGCUGCGCAGACGGUUUCACUUCGGAUCAGGCAAGGAUACCCGCUGAACUUAAGCAUAUCAAUAAGCGGAGGAAAAGAAACCAACCGGGAUGGCCCCAGUAACGGCGAGUGAA
rnacentral:sRNA from 1 species